AACCCAUUUUCAGCACAUCAAGUUUUUGACGCCGUUGCCGGGGACUCUUGGCGAUUGCGUUUAUUAGCUUCGAUUGGACUUAAUUGACAUAAUCUGUGCUACUUGUAUAGUUGUGUAAUUUUUUUUAGUUUUCUUUUAUUCUCUCUACCUUGUUCUGCUCUUUCUACUCUCUUAAUGGCAGGUGAUUCUAUUGAUCUGGAUAUCUCUGAUGAUGAGUCUUAUCCCACCGUACCAAUAUGGGAUUUGUCAGAUGAAGAGGAUGUGGAAAGUGAAGAUGACUUGUUUUGGGAGAGAGAAUUUGCGGAUGAGUUAGAGGGUUUGCCUGUAGAUAAAGAAGUUGGUACGUUUGAUCCGGAGGGUGACCUUGCAUACUUAGAAGCUUUACUCGUUGGAAGCCCAAUGACGGACAUCAAACAAGAAGAAGUGGUGGUGGAAGAGGAAGAACACCACAGCUGGCCCGUGGUACUGAUAACGAAUGCGAGUAAAAGUUCAAAACCACGGGAGAAGGCAAUGAGAAGAACACCUGGGAUCAUGUUUCAGCGGCUCCUACCAGGUCAAGGUCGCAUGUGUUCUCAUCGAUCUCUGUACGGGUGUGCUUUGACCAUAGAUAGGUCAAGUAAUUGCAAAGGUCAUAAUAAGAUUAUAUUACUUUGCUCAUAAUUCAAAAGUUACACAAUUUUUUUUCAACAAAAAUGCUUUUUGGAUAGUAUUCGAGCUUGAGACUCAAGGUGGUUCUAUUAUUCUAUCUCAGUGAAUACGGGCCGUUGGAGUAUGAACUCGGAGCACCGGCUCGAGCGUAUACAAAAUGACAAGGAGGAGUUUGGAAGCUGAUGAUGAACCGAAGAGGAGUUUGGAAGCUGGCUGGUUUCGUGCUAAUUUUCGGUUUAAAAGCCCUAUGCUUCGGCUUCAUAAAGAGAAUUGCUUCUUCCAGUAGCCUAGCAUCUUCAACUAGGAAUCCAACCGAACUUAAAACAGAAACGUCAUUAACUGAUUCUGUUGAGGGAUUGUGAUUUUGGAAUCUCGAUCAUACUCAUGUGAAAAUGAGUGGAGGAAACGAAGAAAUGAAAAAGGUUUGAAUUAUGGAUAUUUUUUUAUUAAUUUAAUUCAUAUUUUAUUCAAUAGUUUUCUCUAGUUAUGUUAUUCCUCUGCUUUUGCUUUUGAUGAUGAUGGUAUGAAACAGUUAUUGUCACCUUUGAUUUAAAUUUGUUUGGAGACACUUGGAGUUGCAAGUCUGGAAUCUAUUCUUAUAAUAUGGAAGUUUUCUUUUUUCUAAUGCAUUUACAUAAUUUGUAACAUGUUUAACUAUGAAUACAAUUGUAAUACUUGCUAACAUGUUUGUGAUUA